AAAUAAAUUUAGGGAAUUUCAACCCUUUAUUACAUAUAUUUAAGAUUAGUUCGUACAAUGAGAAUUCCAAACACAACUAUUCUAAAAAAAACGGAAUAAUCAUCAUACAAAUGCAGCUAUAAUUAGGCCAUGAUUUAAAAUAUGCCGAAAACUUAGAGAUAUAAUUUCGUAUUUCAUUCAUUCACGAAAAACUGAAAGAAAUGGCUUUAUAUGAUAAGGAAAUAAGAAGAUUCAGCCUAACCUGACACCUAAGUUGUUGACAUACCCACGACGCCAGGUAAUGGGUUGGGAUCCUCCCUGGGGCUGUGGGUAUGUCAACGCGUCCCUAACCUUACCGAUGCCAAGUGCUAGGAAAUGACUGAAAAUAAAGAACCUUCCCAACCCGGUUUAGUCUCCCACGGCGGUGGAUCUUCUUGGGAGGAGGACUUUACUUGUGUCAUCAGGGGUAGGAAUUAAACACUGCCUCUGACUCACUCUGCUUCAUGACCACGUUAUUUAGUACAAUGACAAGUCAAUAAAUAAUUCUUAGGAAGAGAUUUGUAGAAUAAUACAUGCUUAUGUAAGAAUAUUUUAACUACCUGAAGGUGGGAAAUUUUAUCAAAAUAUUAUUUUAAAUUGAGAUUAAUGUUUAUUCUAUUGUUGAUCAUAGUGUAUAGUUUAUAUUUUUUCCAUUUUCGAUGGAAACUGUCCAUCAAAACUUUCCCACCUCGCAUGCAAACAUGGAAUUCAGACAAUAUUCGUCCGAAAACCAUGUGCCUAAAGUGGGACAAAUAAUCAAAAUUGUCCCCAAAGUGAUUUAGAAAGUGAACAUAGGACUUAUAUAUCGUGCAAAGACCAUAAUAAAUAAAUAUAUUAUCGUACUUCAUA